UUAUCAUGGGUGCACCUGAAAAAAACAGGCACAAAGCAUGACCAGCUUGGACAGGACGGCAACCCCCUGACAAAGCUGAUCACCCAAGCUGGACGAUAGCACAGCUCUCCGAACCCAGAUCUCACUGGCGCAGAAGACUAUCUAUAGACUAGAACUUUAGAAUUUCACAAUCAGCCGUGGUUUGUGGUUGGUCUGGAGCCACCCUUGGCCAUUGGGUGCAAGACAGGUACACACUCAUGCCUAGAAUCAAUUUAGAUGAUUCUAAUUCUGAAGACUUGGGUUUGAUCAUCACCUCUGGUCCACCCUGGCACGCUCUGAGAGCCUCCCUCCCGAUGACCUGGCUCGCGACUGAACAGUUCACCAGGAGGUCCUGCUCACACACACACAAACACACACAUAUUCACACGUACACACACACUACACUCUCACCGACCUCCUUCCCAUCACCAUUUCUUUCCAGCGCAGUGCUCCUCACUUUCCUCUGUAGUACACAUCUCUUUACUCUCCCUCCUUCUAUUACCCUAGCCUAACCCUCAACCUUCUCUCUCCUUCGCUUGUUGGACCACAUUCAGCGAAGUUGAAAUCUAUCUUUGUCGAGGCCGGUUAAGUAAAGGCGCAUGAAUGCAUAACAAAUCGCUUUGCAUACCAAACCCACUGCGUUAACACAAACUUAAGCUGGGACGAUGAGAAACAUCUCAGCAAGUUCAACAGUGUCUGUGUCAUCUAGAGUGCAACAUUUGCAUGUAUCCUGAUUUAGUUCGGUUUGCCAACUGCACGUCAACUGCUUUUUGAAACCAGAAUGUACUGUUAGCAUUGCUUGGACCUUAAUCACAGGUACACAUACGGUAUCAACAUUAAUUAAUUACAUAGCAAUGUGUCUGAAUUUUAAACACUGUGUUAUAUGCACACUAAUGAUCUGACCAUAUAAGGAUUUCUGUGGUCAUGUAAACAAUACCUUGAUACCUGAAAUCAGAGUAUGGCUGUUCUAAUGUUUUUCCGAAUAAAUUUUAUACAGAGUGA